AGCAGCUGUCCAGGACUCUUCCAGUGCCACAUUGGGACUGCUGAGAUCUCCAACCUCGUGUAUUGAACAAUUACCAGAAUCUUGGCCUUUCCGGUCAUUGUUGUUGGACUACCCACUUAGACUGCAUCCUAGCACCUGCGUCCUACUAUUUCUUGUUAUGCAAUUACUGCUCCCCAUUCCGCCUCCAUAGUGUCUUAUUGAUUUCCUGGUGUACGCAAUUAAUACAGAGUUCUCCCAUACUGAUUUCCAUAGUGG